AUUACCUGAAGAUCUUGUUGAAAUGCAGAUUCUAAUUCAGUAGGUCUAAAAGAGACUGAGAUGCUGCAUUUCCAACAAGUUCCAGGUGAUACCAA
rnacentral:pre_miRNA from 1 species